UACAGAGGGGGCAAGCGUUGUUCGGAAUUACUGGGCGUAAAGGGCGCGUAGGCGGCCUGUUAAGUCGAACGUGAAAUCCCCGGGCUCAACCCGGGAACUGCGUCCGAUACUGGCAGGCUUGAAUCCGGGAGAGGGAUGCGGAAUUCCAGGUGUAGCGGUGAAAUGCGUAGAUAUCUGGAGGAACACCGGUGGCGAAGGCGGCAUCCUGGACCGGCAUUGACGCUGAGGCGCG
rnacentral:rRNA from 1 species